UACGAAGGGGGCUAGCGUUGCUCGGAAUCACUGGGCGUAAAGCGCACGUAGGCGGAUUGUUAAGUCAGGGGUGAAAUCCUGGAGCUCAACUCCAGAACUGCCUUUGAUACUGGCGAUCUUGAGUCCGGGAGAGGUGAGUGGAACUGCGAGUGUGGAGGUGAAAAUUCGUAGAUAUUCGCAAGAACACCAGUGGCGAAGGCGGCUCACUGGCCCGGUACUGACGCUGAGGUGCGAAAACGUGGGGGACAAACAGGGGAUUAAGAA
rnacentral:rRNA from 1 species